CCUUAGCAACAUUUACCAAACCCUAAUCAAGCCAUAAGUAUAGAACACCCAGUACACUAGUGAAAAACUAUUUUCGAUUAUCUCAAUACAUGCAUACCAUUCUCGCAAAUGUAGGCAAUAAUUCAAACCAAUGUGAGGUUUCAAGACAGCCAAGCGUAAAGAGAAUCUAAUAUGUCCCAAUUAUGGGGAACAGUUUCCAUUAAGCCCGAACCAAUGGAUAAGAAUAAGGAGUACGAAGAGAAACGGUCAAAAAACAACGAAGCAGCAAAGAAGUCAAGAGAAAAUCGUAAAAAUCGCGAGGACGAAAAGGCUCACAGCGUUGCGCGAAAUUUCAAAAUACUGAAGCAGUUAAACGAGGAAUUAACAAAUAAUUCCUCACGUGACCAAUCUACUUCAAAAUAUAUGAAAAAUGACAAGUAUUCAUCAUAUGCAGGAAAUGAUAAAAAUGCCAAAUAUAAUAAAUAAUCUGGAAUUUUGAAA
rnacentral:lncRNA from 1 species